ACAGUUGCCAAGUGUUUCACAUACAUCCUUCCAUUUAACCUUCACUUACUGAUGAGCAGCCUCUCCUCUGAAUUCAGAAAAGCACACAGUGAAGAAGAAUAGCUGCUUUCUAGCAUUCUGCCAAAAGGAUCUACAGGAACCUCAGAGUGAUGGGCACUUAUAUUAUAUCCAGAGAUCUGAGGAAAGAAAAGAGAGAACUGUGAGCUGGUAUGGUUCCUUGCCCACCGCAGCACAAAGAAGAGCCGGCUGGCAUUUGGCAGAUAGCGGUCUGUGACGAGGGGGAAGGAAAUUGCACACAAAGCAAGACGGCUGCACACAGGAGCCGGUGGGGAGUGCUUAGGAACCUCUGGGGCCCAGGCAAUGAUGCGGCUUGAAGGUGGAGAAAACAGCAGUUAUAAAAUAUAAAUGUGUUUAUUAUU